GGCCGCGUAGUUCAAUUGGAUAGAAUAUCAGAUUUCGGCUCUGAGGGUUGAGGGUUCGAAUCCUUCCGCGGUCA
rnacentral:tRNA from 1 species